rnacentral:tRNA from 1 species
GGACCAGGAGCCGCAGAGGGGCAGCAGGUGUGAAAAACCUGCGGGGCGGGUUCGAUUCCCGCCUGGUUCA